AUUGAACGCUGGCGGCAUGCCUUACACAUGCAAGUCGAACGGCAGCACGGGGCAACCUGGUGGCGAGUGGCGAACGGGUGAGUAAUGCAUCGGAACGUACCUUUCAGUGGGGGAUAACGUAGCGAAAGUUACGCUAAUACCGCAUAUUCUGUGAGCAGGAAAGCAGGGGAUCGCAAGACCUUGCGCUGAUUGAGCGGCCGAUGGCAGAUUAGCGAGUUGGUGGGGUAAAGGCUCACCAAGGCGACGAUCUGUAGCGGGUCUGAGAGGAUGAUCCGCCACACUGGAACUGAGACACGGUCCAGACUCCUACGGGAGGCAGCAGUGGGGAAUUUUGGACAAUGGGGGCAAACCUGAUCCAGCCAUGCCGCGUGAGUGAAGAAGGCCUUCGGGUUGUAAAGCUCUUUCGGCCGGGAAGAAAUCGCACGGGCUAAUACCCUGUGUGGAUGACGGUACCGGAAUAAGAAGCACCGGCUAACUACGUGCCAGCCGCCGCCGUAAUAC
rnacentral:rRNA from 1 species